rnacentral:rRNA from 1 species
UACGGAGGGGACUAGCGUUGUUCGGAAUUACUGGGCGUAAAGCGCACGUAGGCGGAUUUGUAAGUCAGGGGUGAAAUCCCGGGGCUCAACCUCGGAACUGCCUUUGAUACUGCAAAUCUCGAGUCCGGAAGAGGUGAGUGGAAUUCCUAGUGUAGAGGUGAAAUUCGUAGAUAUUAGGAAGAACACCAGUGGCGAAGGCGGACUCACUGGUCCGGUACUGACGCUGAGGUGCGAAAGCGUGGGGAGCAACAGGGAUAAGA